GUGCUCACUUCGGCAGCACAUAUACUAAAACUGGAACGACACAGAGAAUAUUAGCAUGGCCCUGUGCAAGGACAACACGCAAAUCCGUGAAGCAUUCCUUAUUUUU
rnacentral:snRNA from 1 species